AGGGAUUGGAAGGCUACGUACCUUUCAGCACCUAAUGAGAAAUCAAAGUCUUUGGGUUCUUGGGGGAGUAUGGUCGCAAGGCUGAAACUUAAAGGAAUUGACGGAAGGGCACUACCAGGAGUGGAUUCUGCGGCUUAAUUUGAUUCAACACGGGAAAACUUACCAGGGCAACAUGUUGAGAGGAUUGACAGUUUGAUAGCGCUUUCUUGAUCCGAUAGCUAGUGGUGCAUGGCCGUUCUUAGUUGGUGGAGUGAUUUGUCAGGUUUAUUCCUUUUAACGAACGAGACCUUAACCUGCUAAAUAGAAACAUCUAUAACUUAGAUGUAUUCUUCUUAGAGGGACUACCGAAAAAAACGGUGGAAGUUUGAGGCAAUAACAGGUCCGUGAUGCCCUUAAAUGUUCUGGGCCGCACGCGUAAUACACUGAUGCAAGCAAUAAGUCUACCUAACCCGAAAGGGAAUGGGUAAUCUUCAUAAACUGCAUCGUGCUUGGGAUAGAUCUUGUAAUUGUGGAUCUUGAACGAGGAAUUCC
rnacentral:rRNA from 1 species